rnacentral:rRNA from 1 species
GACGAACGCUGGCGGCGUGCUUAACACAUGCAAGUCGAACGGAAAGGCCCAGCUUGCUGGGUGCUCGAGUGGCGAGCGGGUGAGUAACACGUGGGUGAUCUGCCCCUAACUUCGGGAUAAGCUUGGGAAACUGGGUCUAAUACCGGAUAGGACAAUCGUUUAGUGUCGGUUGUGGAAAGUUUUUUCGGUUAGGGAUGAGCCCGCGGCCUAUCAGCUUGUUGGUGGGGUAAUGGCCUACCAAGGCGUCGACGGGUAGCCGGCCUGAGAGGGUGGACGGCCACAUUGGGACUGAGAUACGGCCCAGACUCCUACGGGAGGCAGCAGUGGGGAAUAUUGCACAAUGGGCGCAAGCCUGAUGCAGCGACGCCGCGUGGGGGAUGACGGCCUUCGGGUUGUAAACCUCUUUCGACAGGGACGAAGCUUUGGUGACGGUACCUGUAUAAGAAGCACCGGCUAACUACGUG